rnacentral:rRNA from 1 species
AUGCUGAUCCCGAGCAGAGCUUUCGUGGGGCGACCCGCGAUCAUAGCCUGUGUAGAGCGCGCAAAGGUGUCGGCCAACUCUUGUAGUUGGCUUGAGGGACGUGCCAUUCCCGCCCGAAAGGGCGGCUGCCAGCUUCGAGCGCCCAUCACGUAAGGGCUGGCAGGCCAGGAGCAUCUGCUUCGGGCGUCGAUUGAAAAGGCCAGCAGCCGCGGUAAUUCCAGCUCCAAUAGCGUAUAUUAAAGUUGUUGCAGUUAAAAAGCUCGUAGUUGAACCUUGGGCCUGGCUGGCCGGUCCGCCUCACCGCGUGUACUGGUCCGGCCGGGCCUUUCCUUCUGGAGAACUGCAUGCCCUUCACUGGGUGUGUCAGGGAACCAGGACUUUUACUUUGAGAAAAUUAGAGUGUUCAAAGCAGGCCUUUGCUCGAAUACGUUAGCAUGGAAUAAUAGAAUAGGACGUGCGGUCCUAUUUUGUUGGUUUCUAGAACCGCCGUAAUGAUUAAUAGGGAUAGUCGGGGGCGUCAGUAUUCAAUUGUCAGAGGUGAAAUUCUUGGAUCUAUUGAAGACUAACUACUGCGAAAGCAUUCGCCAAGGAUGUUUUCAUUAAUCAGUGAACGAAAGUUAGGGGAUCGAAGACGAUCAGAUACCGUCGUAGUCUUAACCGUAAACUAUGCCGACUAGGGAUCGGGCGAUGUUUUUAUAUUGACUCGCUCGGCACCUUACGAGAAAUCAUAAG